CAAUAGCGUAUAUUAAAGUUGUUGCAGUUAAAAAGCUCGUAGUUGGAUUUCUGGUAGGAGUGACCGUUCCGAACUUGAUUGUUCGUGUAUUGUGUUUUCUCCAGCCAUCCUUGUGGAGAACUUUUCUUGCAUUAAUUUGUAGGGAUUGGGACCCGCAUCGUUUACUGUGAAAAAAUUAGAGUGUUUAAAGCAGGCAAUCGCUUGAAUACAUUAGCAUGGAAUAAUAAGAUAGGACUUUGGUACUAUUUUGUUGGUUUGCAUACCAAAUUAAUGAUCAACAGGAACAGUUUGAGGAUAUUCGUAUGAACAUGUCAGAGGUGAAAUUCUUGGAUUUUGAUCAGACGAACUACAGCGAAAGCAUUUAUCAAGGAUGUUUUCAUUAA
rnacentral:rRNA from 1 species